rnacentral:rRNA from 1 species
GAUGAACGCUGGCGGCGUGCCUAAUACAUGCAAGUCGAGCGAACGGAUUAAGAGCUUGCUCUUAUGAAGUUAGCGGCGGACGGGUGAGUAACACGUGGGUAACCUGCCCAUAAGACUGGGAUAACUCCGGGAAACCGGGGCUAAUACCGGAUAAUAUUUUGAACUGCAUAGUUCGAAAUUGAAAGGCGGCUUCGGCUGUCACUUAUGGAUGGACCCGCGUCGCAUUAGCUAGUUGGUGAGGUAACGGCUCACCAAGGCAACGAUGCGUAGCCGACCUGAGAGGGUGAUCGGCCACACUGGGACUGAGACACGGCCCAGACUCCUACGGGAGGCAGCAGUAGGGAAUCUUCCGCAAUGGGCGAAAGCCUGACGCAGCGACGCCGCGUGGGUGAUGAAGGCCUGGUCGUAAGCCUCGUCGCAGGGGAAGGAAGUAAAGACGAUCGGUAUAAUACG